CCCCUUUCUCUACUCUUCUUCCCCAGGGUAGAAGAAUUAAUCGCCAGGAAGCUUCUCUCUGUAAACGGGAAUUAGUCGCUAGGAAGUUUACGGUUCAAGAAUUGACAUUAGGUGGUGUCUUUGAUCUAGUCCUCUCACCUCGUGAGAAGCUUCGAGCGGUCUUCCUUCAGAGCCCUUUGUCCCACUCUGAUUUAGUUCUUUAAUCUGGCGGUGAAUGUGAAGUUCUUUGGUUUGCAGCGGGUAGGUACAGAGAUGUGGUGGGCAUGUGGACAUAUGUGUUGAAAACUACCUACUUCAAAUGUUAAACAUUUGGAUUUAGAUAUAAUGUCUCAAGGUUCACUUUGUCACAGAAAAUACAACUAUAAUAAUCUGGAUGGGAAAGGUUUAUUUCAAGCAAUCGAUGCUCAUGAUGUUAUAGUGAAGUGCAGAUUGCAGAUUUUCUUAUCUUACUUUGGGGUUGCUGUGUUUCUUACGAUUACCUUUUAUUUAAUUAUGAUGAAGGUAUCUCCUAACCAUUCUCAUGGCUUUUAUUGUGUGUAUCUUUAGGUUUUAUUUGCCAAAAGACAUGUUUCAAGGGAGGAUUUUUAGAAUGACACUUUGUAUAGGUUGUGGGCAUAAACUUGCUCUUGCUUUAGUUGCUGAUGCCUCACAGAAUUUUUGUCUAACAGGACUUGUGUGUCAGCUCCAUUUGGAAAACUCUAGUGUGUUUCCUCAUGGCAAAAGUCUUGCAUUACAAUCCUGUAAAGAAUGGCGAAGUGUCAAAUUUUUUCUUUUUUUUUGUAUUUUAAGCUGCCUUUGAUUCAUGACUUCUUUCAUGUUUGAAUUAGUUAAUUUGAAUAAACAGAUUUCAAUAUAAUUGUUGUUAUAUAAUUAAAAACUAAUGCCAUAUAAGAUGUGAUAACUGUAGUACUACUUUUCGUUUCUUAUUUACAUAUUUCUUUUAUGUUGUCGAACAACUUUAACAAGGUGAAAUAUGUUUUGAUUGAUGUUGAAUGAGUUUGACACCAAUAGAAGGGCUCAUUUGGUCUUAAACAGAGCUGUUUCGACAACCUGCAUUCUUUUUUCUUUUUUUUUUUCGCUGGAGACUUCACACACCAAUUUAUGGGUUUUUUUUAACAAUGUAUAAUCAGUGGUGAUUAUGCCAGCAUUUGGUGUUCAACAUGAAACUCAUUACUGGAGGUAAGUUCUGUUAUAUCUGGAUGCCUUGACAUUGCAUUGGUACAUAGUUUUUUCUGUUCUUGUAUUUUUCUUUUAUCUUCAUAACUGAUGGAGUGCUUUUAAGAUAAUUAUAUUUUCUAUUUUUUGGUUUCUCAAAACAUUUUACUCUUUGAUUUUUCUCUAAUAAAUAUUACAAGAUCUUUACUAUUUAAUCUAGUUGGCACCUAAAAAAUGUGGAUAAGAGUAAUCUCAAACUGCUAUCCAAUGGUUCCUUGUAUGUCUAACCAAAAGGUUGUAGUAGUUAAGUAAUCUCAACUGGUCAUGAGUUUGUCCAGACUUCGGAUUGAACUCAAAUUUCUAAAGCUGCUAAUAUUUUAUGUGCACUGUUGGAAAUAUUUUCCUAUUAUAAUUUCAGUAAAUUGUCUUGCUGAUUGAUACAUUUAAUUGCAUCAUAUUCAUUUUGUACUUAUUUUCAGAAUAUGAACUACAUUUUACGCCUGUGUCGUGAGUCUGAUGUGUUUAUGAAAUUUUCAACAGAGAAUAGAUGAAACAAACAUCCAUUAUGUAUACACCACUGUGACAUAUGUGUUAAUGGUACAGCAAUCCUAAUAUAUUUUGAAAUGUCUGGCCUGUAUUAGGAAAUAUCCAAAGGUGUACCCAGUGCACAAGGCUCUCACCAAUGCAGGGUGUGGGGAGGGUCAAUGUACAUAGCCAAUUUAUGGUUUUUCUUGAACAAUAUAGAAUCAGUGGUGAUUAUGCCAGCAUUUGAUGUUCAACUUGAAACUCAUUACUGGAGGAUGGAGAUGCUGGAUUUGCCUUACAUAAUCACUUGAGAGCAUGUUUAGGAGUUGGGAAAAUAUAUGUCCAACACAAAAUGGACAUAUAGUGUGAAGCAUUGGCCACUAAAGAAGGGUUGUUGUUUGCUUCAAAUCGAGGAUUCAUUCGUAUUCAGAUUGAAACAGAUUCCUCGAUAUUGUGCAACACAUUUACCAAAGACGUUGCACCACCUUUGGCAUUUGCGGAUCAUCAUUCAGGAUAUCAAAGCACUUCUUCAAUAAUUUACUUAUUAUAUUUUUCUAUACUGUAGUAGAGAAAGUAACCAAACAACUAAUUGGGUUACCAAAAAAUACUAGGGUGUCUAAUGUAUCAAUGAUUUGAAAGGACAAUUAUCCCCCCGAGUUAUCCUUGUAUUUGCUCAACGACUAACAGUUCUUACCGCAGAACUUUAGCUCAGGAAUCUAAGUUUUCUUUUUCUUGAAAUAAAAAUGCAUUGCUUUAAUAUGUCUAUAUUUUGAUGCAGUGUUGGAUACGUAUAUAUCUUUCACUCGACACUACCUACUUGGGAAAAGAAGCUAUGUGGUCAGUCUGGCUUGGAUUAAAGUUGGAACAGGUUUGUUGCUGAGGAGAAACCCAGACCCUACAUAAGCUGGACAAGCAGCAGAAAUGGACAAAAGCUGACAACUCAUUUCACACGCCAACUCUGACCGACAAAAGCAGCUGGCGAGUGCUCAGAUCCAUGCAUGCAAUGCUUUUAUACCAACACUUGGGAAUGGGUUCCCGUCUGAGGCUGUUCUGAAGAGGAGACCACGAGUGAGUUUGAAGUCUGUCAGAGAUGGAACGAUGAUGAUAGAUAGCAUUAUUAAACCUCCCAUGCCCUGGUCCCAGUCAACUUGAUUGGUGUUAUCUGUCUCCAAUGAAUCAGAUUGCAGUACACGCGGAACUAUUCAUUCAUGGUAUCCCUGACGAGCAGGAGGAGCCACAGAAGCCGAUAAAAUGGUGAAUCCAAGCUGUAAAGGGAUUAAAUACUCCUCAAAGCGACCGACAUGGACACACAAGACAGCAGGAUGGGAAGUUUGGUUUCAGUACGUGAAGGCAGUGGUGCUUCAAAUUAAAGCUGGUCGAAGGGCUUUAAAGGCAUUUCAGUCAAUUGGAAAACGUUGAUGAAAGGUUGAAUGCCUCGUGUCACAAAUUCUGCAUCGAUUCUAGAGAAGCAAUACUUGUCCUGUUCGAAGAUCAUUAGCAGUUGUGGAUGGGUUGGCGGGACAAAUGGCAUCUUAAAUCGUACCGAUAUCUGAUUAAAAAUCACUGGAAUUCGAGCCAUCCCAGCUGUUCUUCUGAGGCCAUUGUCUGCCUGAAUCACCCACAGCUGUGGAUGGGGCAAUUAUAUGAGCAUAUUUAUGACAGUGAUUGGCUCCUAAAAUUCAAUCAUAGUUCAGAGGAUCCGGUCAUAUUCAUUGCACCAGCAACCAUCCGAGUUUUCCUCCUGUGUCUCAGAGAAUUUCUAUGAUCCAUGGAUUGAUGGAUUUAUUACGACUUGCAUCACCGGGGCAAUCACGAUGUCAACUCGCAGGGAGAAGAGAAGAAUCUCCUGCUCUCGGACUUGAUUGCAUUUCAGUCGACACAUCUCUCGUGGAAGGACAUGAAUGGAAGUAACAAUAUCUACUGCGCCUGCACUGCAAGAUUUGAGGUAGCAAACGCAUUGGCUGUUUAAUAGGUGGAGGCAGCAAGAAACACCGAAUGCAGACGACAGACAGAUCGAUGGCUGCAGCCAGUAAUAAUUUUUAUAAGAUAUGCAGCAGAUUUGGUAACGUGGCACUCGCAACUAAUCUCCUCCGUCUCGUCUUGUGUACCUUCUUAAAUGAGAUGUCCACGUCCUGGGGUCAUUCGCAGGCUCA